rnacentral:sRNA from 2 species
AAAAUAGAGCGCUAGGGUUCCGGUCACCUCCAAAUGAAAGGUGACGACUGGUCCGAGAGCACUCGACCUCUCAGCUGAGCGUUAGGGCUCUGCGAUGGGUUACACGGCGGGACAAAAGCCCGGGAGAC